AAAAAUUUAGUUAAACCCAUAACGUUAGCUUGUCAAGCUAAAAUUAUUAAAUAUAGUAAUUUUUU
rnacentral:tRNA from 1 species